rnacentral:rRNA from 1 species
GACGAACGCUGGCGGCGUGCCUAAUACAUGCAAGUUGAGCGAUGAAGAUUGGUGCUUGCACCAAUUUGAAGAGCAGCGAACGGGUGAGUAACGCGUGGGGAAUCUGCCUUUGAGCGGGGGACAACAUUUGGAAACGAAUGCUAAUACCGCAUAACAACUUUAAACAUAAGUUUUAAGUUUGAAAGAUGCAAUUGCAUCACUCAAAGAUGAUCCCGCGUUGUAUUAGCUAGUUGGUGAGGUAAAGGCUCACCGAGGCGAUGAUACAUAGCCGACCUGAGAGGGUGAUCGGCCACAUUGGGACUGAGACACGGCCCAAACUCCUACGGGAGGCAGCAGUAGGGAAUCUUCGGCAAUGGACGAAAGUCUGACCGAGCAACGCCGCGUGAGUGAAGAAGGGUUUCGGAUCGUAAAACUCUGUUGGUAGAGAAGAACGUUGGUGAGAGUGGAAAGCUCAUCAAGUGACGGUAACUACCCAGAAAGGGACGGCUAACUACGUG